rnacentral:lncRNA from 12 species
CCUGGAGGGGCCUUCGCUCUCUAACUUCGGAAAACCCCUCCAGAAAAGUCUAGUAAAAGCAGGUGUGCGGUUUAUCGCAGGAGGAAAUAAAGCACAACAGCGGGGCAGCCACGCUCGGGCGGCCACCCGUGAGGGGCCGCGGCCCGGAACCCCUCCUGCACCGCCAGGCGCCGGGGCGCGCAGCCCACCUGGGGCCGUGGGCACUGGCCUGGCCUUGGUGGCCGGCGCUGGGCUUCGGCGUCCCCCGAGGGCCCCCGUGCAUGCGGCGUGAGUGUGGCCCGGCCGGCCCUCAGCUGGGGCGCCGUGGGGGGCCCGCAAGGCUCACUGUCGGGGUGGUGAGGCUCAGCCCGCGCCCCCCGAGAAUUACGACUGCCUUUGUGAGCCGACCCCAUCUCAAUCAGCGGGGAGAAGGCAGCGGCGGGAGGGGUGCCAGGGGCCGGAUGAGAGCGCGGGCCGAGGAGGGGGCCCGGCCUCAGCAGGUGCCGCGGGCCUGCUCAUCCUCGGGCCCGGCUGUGACUUGGCUGCGCUGACCCCGAGGGGGGCUCCAGGGGCACAGGCCCCCCGCCGCCCUGUCCCCCAGACGGCACCCCGAUGCCUGUCCCAGCCAUUUCCUGAGGCCCCGGGGUGUGUCUCCUGGCGGCGGGGGGGUGCGGGGGGGUUGGGGGCAGAUCCGGGGGCCUCACCAGACCUCGACAGGCCGGCUCUCGGGCCCAUUUCCUCCUGGGUUCAGGGCUGCCUCGUGGGAUUAAAGGCAUCUCCCACCUGAGCACCGAGACUUACUGAUUUUUGUAAAUCAUGAGUAAGUAGAUGGAGCAGGUGCUGGGAUCGGCGGCCAAGAGACCGAUUUAUGUCCAGAACAUUCUAUAUCACAGCCCAGCACACGUAUUACGAGGCGAUCUUCCCACGAGGUACAGUCACGUCUCGUGCUGAGACUUGACGUGACUCAUUUUCGCCAGGGACCCGGGCGCUGCUGCAGGCGGCUCAGAGCGGAAGUGAGGGAGCCUAAGUUCACGAGGCGCAGGCAGGGAGCCAGGCACCCCCAGGCGGGCUGCGUCCCCGGGAACAACUCCUGUGCGGCCGCGCUCGUUGGCGCAGGCCGCGGCGAUCAAGGUGCUGCAGCCCGAGGGCCUCCCCACGGCCGGCGGCUCCCACGGUCGGUCGGGGGUGGGGGUGGGGCCUCGGUCACGGCCGCUGCCCAGCUACACGCUGGCGGCUGCACCCCCUUGUCUGGCAUCUGCCCCAGCUGCCCGGGCGGGCGCAGGGGCGGGGGUGCCAGGCCGUGGUGCCCCCUCCCACCGCAGUGACCCCGCGGUCCAGGGCUGUGCCCGGGGCGGGCGCUCCCAGGCAGUCAGGCGGCUGCAGUCCCCACCCCUGGCGGCAGGACGCCAGCUUCCCGCCCCAGCACGGUGCCACCCAGAAGGUUCCGCGAGAACGGCUCACUUCCUCCCAGUCCGGCCUGUCUCAAGGUCAGGCUCCCACAUGGAGAAACGAAAAGUCAGGGCAAGUCCCCCUGCUGCUUCCCAGGAAAGUCCCGACAAAGUCCCGCUCCCUCCCGACAUUUUCAUGAGGCUUAUUUUAGCCUGAGGAGGAAAGGGGAUUUCUUCCUCCUGAGGCCGACAGUCUGAGGCCGCCCUGCUGGCCGUCGGGCUCCAGGGGGAGGCGAGGAUCCCUGGACGGAGGAGCAGAGGGGGCGCCCCCAGGCCGGGACCCACGGCGCCCCACGGAAGGGGGGCACUCAACCCUCGAGAAUCGGCCUCAUGCCUUCUAGGGCUUUCCUGGGGCACGGGGUCUGCGGGCCUUCCGGGAACCAUAUGCCCCUGCAGAUAGGGGCCUAGAAGCAGGUGUGCGUGGGGUUGGGGAAGGUGCCAGGGCAAACAGGACAGCGUCCUGGGCUCCAGCGUCCUGGGCUCCAGCAGGUGUGGCAGCCCCUGGAGACCCUGCUGGGGGGACAGUCCCUGGGGGAGGCAUGCCCGGCCCCUCCUCCCUGUCAUCCUUGCUUCCCCGGAGCCUUGCAGGGCCGCCUGGUCCCAGCCCCUAACAGCAGCCCUCCCAACGCUGGCCCGCCAAGUCCCUCUCCCGCGGCCCCGACGUCCUUUAUCUCUGCUCUCUUCAGGUUGGAGGCGUCUGUGCUGCUGUUCACU